GAUACCGUGGUACAAAACUAUUUCAGAUAACUCUCUUUCAUUUACACUCGCCGGACUCCGGCGACAUGUUUGACGGAACUCUUUUCCCGGCAACUUCUCCGGUGACCCGAAAUCCGAGAUCCGGUCUAUUUUUAAUUGUUUCCGGUAAUAUGCCUGUUUGGAUUGCUGGAAACCAAUUGGAAAAUUUUCCCGGCAAAUCUCGGUAAUUCGGUCACAUCGUUGGGAUUCUUUUCUUUUUUUGUCGUCGUUGGUGAUUGUUUUCUCUAUACUUUAGAUGUAAUUGCUCAAAUUUCGACUUUCUGGUUUUUUUUUUAGAGAUUAGAUAGAAAAAAGUGGGCUUGUUUUAUAUAAUUUGGCUCAGGAAUUGGGUACGAAGUGUGAAAUGAAGGUAUACAGUAUUGAUUUGUUGAACUGAUGGAAAGGAUAAACAGAUGGAGAGUGAUUGUCUUCAAAGAUCGGAAUUUGUUUUCUGGGUAUUGGGAGCAUAAUCAAGAACUGUGGCAUAAGGGUAAUUCUUUGAUGAUUAAUCAGGAUUGUUUUCCUUUUGGGGAACUUGCUUGAUUUUUUUCUUUGGUUGACAGCAAAUAUUGGUUAAUAUUACUAAAAACAACCUUUUUAGAUUACAAUUGAUGGAGGAAGAAGAGGAAGUAAUGAGUCAUUCAAUAAUGAAUACGAGGGGAGGAGUAAAUGAUGGUCGCUUACGAUUAGGAUCAAGUGAUUCACUCCUCCCUGGUCUUAUUGAUGAUGUUGCAUUGAAUUGUCUGGCCUCGGCAUGCAGAUCAGACUAUGCCUCAUUAUCAUGUAUAAACAAGAUGUUUCAUAAGCUAAUUGAAAGCGGAUAUUUGUAUGGGCUAAGGAAGCAAUUGGGAAUUAUAGAGCAUUGGGUGUAUUUAGUUUGUGAUCCAAGGGGAUGGGAGGCAUUUGAUCCUGUGAGAAAGAAAUGGAUGGCUUUGCCUAAGAUACCUUGCGAUGAGUGUUUCAAUCAUGCAGAUAAGGAGUCAUUGGCUGUGGAUAGCGAAUUGCUUGUUUUUGGGCGUGAGCUGUUUGAUUUUGCUAUUUGGAAGUAUAGUUUGAUUGAUCAUGGCUGGGUCAAAUGUGAAGGGAUGAAUCGGCCCCGGUGUUUGUUUGGAUCAGGUAGCUUUGGUUCUAUUGCUGUUGUUGCCGGAGGGAGUGAUAAGAAUGGGAACGUUUUGAAUUCAGCAGAGUUGUAUGACUCUUCAACAGGCAAAUGGGAAAUGCUACCAAACAUGCAUUCGCCACGUAGAUUGUGCUCGGGAUUUUUUAUGGAUGGCAAAUUCUAUGUGAUUGGUGGGAUGUCAAGUCCCACUGUUUCAUUGACUUGUGGGGAGGAGUAUGAUUUCGAGACAAGGAAAUGGAGGACUAUUGAAGGGAUGUAUCCAAAUGUUAAUAGGGCUGCUCAGGCUCCUCCGCUUGUUGCAGUUGUGGAUAACCAGCUAUAUGCUGUUGAGUAUUUAACUAACAUGGUGAAGAAGUAUGACAAGGUAAAAAAACACCUGGGUUGUGUUGGGGAGGCUGCCUGUGAGGGCGGAUUCUUCAAAUGGUUGGGGCCUGGCUUUCAAGGCUUGUGGGGAGGAAAUUCUAGUUGUGGGUGGGCAAAGGGGCCCAGAAGGUGAAUCUGUUGUGCUUAACUCAUGGUGUCCAAAGUCUGGAGUCAAUAAUGGAACUUUGGAUUGGAAAAUUCUUGGUGUGAAGGAGCAUGUUGGCGUGUUUGUUUACAAUUGUGCUGUUAUGGGUUGUUGAGGAUUCUUUUAGAUCAACUCAACAGAGGGUGCAGGUUGCUGCAAUCUUACCUGUCCUUUUAGGGUGCUGCCUGAGCAAUUAUUUGAUUCACUAGAAUUAAUUUGUCACUGAGAUAGCACUUCUCAAUAUGAAAAUUUGGUUUCCUUCCUUAACAACCCUGUAUUUAAAUUUGUGUGCUUCACUUUAAGAUUCUGCAUUUUUAUUUGCUUUAAAGAGUACUGAGUAGGGUUUACUCAGGUAAUGCUCUAUUCUCUCAUUUUCUCUUUUCUUUUUCUUUGUUAUAGCUUAUUCUCUGUUGUUUGCAACUGUAUUGAUUUAGGAUUGACCUUCCUUUUCAUACAAAUCUUGUUAAUUUCUUUGUUAAGUUUUGAUUUUGAAAUUGAUGUUUGAUUAUCUUUCAUAAAGAUUGCAUUGAAUAGAAGGUUUAGCUUUGUCUAUUUUGAAUUGGGCAGUGUUUGGAGUUCUUUAGGAGUAUAUCAUUUGGAGCUUUUUCCAUCUGUUAGCUUCUAAUCACAUAAUAGGCUGAAAAGGGUAUAUGAAAUAUGCAAAAUUUCUUCCCCUUUUAUUGGUUAAUUUUGUGAAAUAUAUGAAUGAGCCUGUGAUGCAUAGAAAAUUUGUUCGUACAAUCUAAUGAUUUCUAUAUCUUGAUGCAUUGAAAUAUUUUCUGAGGCCUUUUUGAGUCUUUUUAAUCCUUAUUUUUUUGGGUUUAUUGUUUCAAAAAAGAAGAAUAAUUUAUUGAUAGAAAUCAUGGUGAAAGGGCAUUGAUGAUGAAAAUUAUACCAUCAAACUAUGAGAGCUCAAAAGUUAGCUUGUUGAUGUUCAUUAAUCUCUGAGCCUUUUCUUUCUACAUGCAACUUUGAUCUACGGAGGAUUUUAAUUCUUUUUUUUUUUUGUUCUUUCCUUUUAAUAUAUUUUUAAUAAUCUGGAUCUCAUAAGGGGAAACAAAAUGAAGUUGGAAAGGCAACAGAAUAGAGUUUCUGGAUUGCUUUGAUCAUCUAUAGCGUUUUCAGUGCUGUACAUUGCCGAUACUGAUUUGGUGGUGAGAUUCUGGCAAUUUCCUUACUUUUCUUCUUGAGUCUUGUGCAUUUAGAUGUAGGCACAUGCUCAUUUAAAUUUGUUUUUGAAAUUGUAAGAAUUUUUUUUUUUUUUAAUGCUUGUUGGCUCAAAGCUUCAGCUUUUAUGGGUCCCUAUCUCUGUAAAUCAUGUAUAACUUUUAUGCAUUACAGUUUAGUUCAAUCUCCACAAAUUGUUAGAAUUGAUGUAUUGUCCAUAAAUAGAGUAAUCAGUUAUGGAAAAUUAGAUCUUGUUAUGGAUGAUAAUGCUUUGACCUAUCUAAAUAGGACGAGCAUUGUCCUUUUCUAUGUAUCUUUUAUUUCUUUUUCCUGAACAUUAAUAGAAUGAAGAAUAUGAAUUCACAAAUGAUUUCAACUACUUGUUGGGUUGAGCACUUGAGCUUUCAGUUACAAGAAAAUCAUGUUAUGUGCUUUCCAUAGGUCAAACUUUGUUAUUCUCCAUGGCAUGUGUAAAGGCAACAAAUUAGAGUCUCUGAUGCACUUUCUUAAUAGUGAUUUCAGUGCUGUACGUUGCCAAUAUGAAUGUGGGGGCUAAGAUUUUGGCAUGGCUUCUUAUCAGUUAGGCUUAUGCAUUCAGAUCCUCCCACAUUUGACUUGUGUACAUCAAGUAGUUGUGCAUUUGUAUUGACUAAUUAUGUUUGUAUGACGCUGUGAAUAAAGAAUAUCAGUUAGACUUUGAUGUGAACAAUUGGCAUGUGUUGGUAUUUUUUUUUUCUAUAUGUUUCAAUGCUACACUCUAUAUGCAACAUGUUCAUUUGAGUCUCCAUCAAUUCUAACAAAAUUUUGCUUUUUUUUUAUUAUGUUAGCAAAGGGCAAAUUUAGGGUUUAUAGGAAGUGGUGUAUCCUCUGCCAUUUAGUUGCUAUUAAUGGCCUCUGAUCUGUGUCAUUCACUCUUUCUUCAGUUUUUUGUAGACUCUAUCUCGCCUUCACCCUCUACUUAGCUUGGUAUUACUGGAAAUAUGAGAAAGUGAAGUUAAUUUUGUGAAAUAUAUUAAUGCAGAUGGGCCUUUGAUGCAUAGAAAAAUUGUUCGUACCAUCUGAUGAUAUGGAUCUCUUGAUGCAUUGAAACAUCUCUAGCUUCUGAGGCCUUUAUGAGUCUUUUUAAUCCUAUUAUUUUGUUUUUUUUUUUUGAAAAAGAAGAAUAACUUAUUAAUAGAAAUCACAGCCAAAGGGCCUUGAUGAUGACAAUUAUACCAUCAAACCAUGAGAGCUCAAAAAUGAGCUUGAAGUUCUUUAAUUCUUAACUCUCUGAGCCCUUUUUUCCUCUAUUUUACUUCAACUUUUGUUGUUUCUAUUUCUCUUUUCUUUUUUACUUGAAAUAAUGUUGCGUUCGAUUUAUGGCAGCUGUUAGCUCUUUCUCUUUCUUUUUUAAUAACCUAGAUCGCUUAUGGAAGAAAAUAAUAAGUUGGAAGGCAUAACAUUUUUAGUGCUGUACAUUGCCAAUACUGAUAUGGUGCAAAGAUUCUGGCAUUUUCCUCGCUUUUCUUUCUUAAGGUUUAUGCAUUCAGAUGUGCCACACACUGUUUAUGUUUUGAUUUUUGUUUCUUGUUAAUCAUAAAGUUAAGCAUUUAUGCGUCCUUGUCUCUGUAGUUCUUAAAUAGCUUAUAUUGCAUUAUAAUUUAAUUUAAUUUAAUCCCAUCAAGCUGUUAGAAUUGAUGAAUUAUCUAGAAGUGCAGUAAUGGAAAAGUUAGAUUGAACAAUGGAUAAUGAUACUUUGACUUAUGUUUUUAACUUUUAUUUUUUUCACCUGAACAUUUAACAGAAUGAAGAAAAAUCUGAAUGAAUCUAUACAACUAAUUAUUUGUUGGGUUGAGCUUUCAGUUUCAAGAAAAUCUUAUUAUGUAUCUCUUAUAUGUCAAGACUAUGUUAUGUUCCAUUGUAUGUGAGAGAGGCAACAAAUUAAGACUCUCUGAUGUGCUCUCUCAAUAGUGUUUUCAGUGCUGUAUGUUGCUGAUAUGAAUGUGAAACUGGAGGUGGGAGCUGAGAUUCUGGUGUCGUCUUAUGUAAUCAGAGGUUCAUUGCAUUCAGAUGUUCCCAUAUUUCAAAAUUGUACAUUGCUCUGUGCUACUUCUGUGUUGACUAAUUAUGUUAUAUGCUAUAAGCAAGAUGAUUCUUCUAGUCUUUGAAAUUAGCUCUUGCAAUUUUAUGCUUUGUUUGAGAUUGUGGGUGGGAAGCUAAAAUUUUGUAUCUCGAAAAAGUAUUAUUUUAUAUGUGAAAAAAGUUUAGUUAUUUU
rnacentral:misc_RNA from 1 species